GAUGAACGCUAGCGGCAGGCCUAAUACAUGCAAGUCGGACGGGAUCCAUCGGAGAGCUUGCUCGAAGAUGGUGAGAGUGGCGCACGGGUGCGUAACGCGUGAGCAACCUACCCAUAUCAGGGGGAUAGCCCGGAGAAAUCCGGAUUAAUACCGCAUACCACUGUAACCUGGCAUCAGGGCACAGUUAAAUAUUUAUAGGAUAUGGAUGGGCUCGCGUGACAUUAGCUAGUUGGUAGGGUAACGGCCUACCAAGGCAACGAUGUCUAGGGGCUCUGAGAGGAGAAUCCCCCACACUGGUACUGAGACACGGACCAGACUCCUACGGGAGGCAGCAGUAAGGAAUAUUGGUCAAUGGAGGGAACUCUGAACCAGCCAUGCCGCGUGCAGGACGACUGCCCUAUGGGUUGUAAACUGCUUUUGUCAGGGAAUAAACCUAUCUAUGUAUAGAUAGCUGAAUGUACCUGAAGAAUAAGGAUCGGCUAACUCCGUGCCAGCCGCCGCAGUAA
rnacentral:rRNA from 1 species